rnacentral:rRNA from 1 species
UACGGAGGGUGCGAGCGUUGAUCGGAAUUACGGGGCGUAAAGCGUGCGCAGGCGGAUUGUUAAGCGAGAUGUGAAAGCCCCGGGCUCAACCUGGGAACCGCAUUUCGAACUGGCAAACUAGAGUCUUGUAGAGGGGGGUAGAAUUCCAGGUGUAGCGGUGAAAUGCGUAGAGAUCUGGAGGAAUACCGGUGGCGAAGGCGGCCCCCUGGACAAAGACUGACGCUCAGGCACGAAAGCGUGGGGAGCAAACAGG